UAACAUAUGAAUUUGGAGGGACACCAACU
rnacentral:piRNA from 1 species